rnacentral:rRNA from 1 species
UACGAAGGGGGCUAGCGUUGCUCGGAAUCACUGGGCGUAAAGGGUGCGUAGGCGGGUCUUUUAGUCCGGGGUGAAAUCCUGGAGCUCAACUCCAGAACUGCCUUUGAUACUGAGGAUCUUGAGUUCGGGAGAGGUGAGUGGAACUGCGAGUGUAGAGGUGAAAUUCGUAGAUAUUCGCAAGAACACCAGUGGCGAAGGCGGCUCACUGGCCCGAUACUGACGCUGAGGUGCGAAAGCGUGGGGAGCAAACAGG